rnacentral:rRNA from 1 species
UACGGGGGGAGCAAGCGUUGUUCGGAUUUACUGGGCGUAAAGGGCGCGUAGGCGGCCAGCACAAGUCAGUUGUGAAAUCUCCGAGCUUAACUCGGAAAGGUCAACUGAUACUGUGCGGCUAGAGUGCGGAAGGGGCAACUGGAAUUCUUGGUGUAGCGGUGAAAUGCGUAGAUAUCAAGAGGAACACCUGCGGCGAAGGCGGGUUGCUGGGCCGACACUGACGCUGAGGCGCGAAAGCGUAGGGAGCAAACGGG